GUGGGUGCGCAUCGGCGAGCAAAGCGGUCUCCAAAACCGUGGCUUUAAUCGGCCUUGAGGGUUCGAAUCCUUCCACCCGCGCCA
rnacentral:tRNA from 1 species